UGUGUACAAUAAUCAAGAAAAAUCUUCAUUUCUAAUUCUAUUAUGUGGGAAAAGAACCUUUCUUUUUUCUGCCUGCAUAAAACAAACCCCACUUCCACAUGGAAUAAGCUCCAGACCAUGUUUUCUAUUAUGCUUGAAUAUAUGGGACAUGCAUUGCAAUCCUAUGCUUGCCACACUGCUGCAGUAUACUUGUUUUGCAGAGCUCUGUAGCAGGCUAGUCAAAGCUGUGACUAACCAGACCCUUGGAUACAUACUCUAAUCUCUGGCCUUUAUUUUUACAAUGAAUUUGACUUGUUCAUUGAUUGUAUAUUUUUUCUGAUUUGUGAGAAGCUUCAUGCUCUGUGUUUGGAUGCUGACUGCAAUACAGCAAUAGUCUUUGAUACGCUUUACACUCUCAAAUUAAAGCUUAAAAACCUCCAAGGAAGGAAAGGAGGCCAGAUUGGAGGGGGAGGAGGUGAGAGGAAGGAAACGGGUGGAGAAAACCACUAUAUUCCCAAGAUGCAAGGAAAGUUGAAAAGUAGAAGAAAAAAUAUAUUAAAUCAGUGUAAACUAAGAGAGUCACAGUGUACGCUCUGUGGGGAGCCUGAAGAAGAAGAGGGUGGCGAUCUGCUCAAGUCGAGCUUCAGUUUUCCAGGGACGCCAGAGGAGGAGCUAGGUACAGACCCAUCUCCCAGACCCCUGGUACCGCCUGCGCACCCGGCUGGGUGCAGCCGCGGCUGGGCACAGGGCGCUGCUCUGGGCUGCAGCCUCACCCUGCCACAGAGCCCACCACUGCCAGUGACAGUGGCCAAAAUAUCUCACUCAAAUCCUUCUGGGCAUUUCUCACCUGCUGUAUAAGUUAGAGAAUGCAAAGGAAAAUCAUCAGAUUUGAGUAACACUCAGGCAACUGAGAAUCCGAAAGAAGGUAUUCAAGGGAAUUGCCAACCUUCCUUCUUUUGUCUUUUUGUCUUACUCUUUAGAGAACAUCCUAAAUGCAGAUAGAGUUUUCAAUGUUACCUUUUCAAUUUGAAAAAAUAACAGAAGCAAGAAGAAGUCAGAAACUCUUAAAGCCCAUGAGUGAAAUCUUGAUACUUCUGUCUUACAAAGCUAGUACUAAAAUGUCCCACUGGCUUCAGUUUUAUACAUUUAGAUUGUGAAAAUUUGAGGUUUUGUUCCUGGAAUUUCAUACCCAGAUUGCCAAU
rnacentral:lncRNA from 14 species